ACAAACUCCGAAGCCGGCCCGGACAGGAAGACAGCAGCACCAGCACAGUCGGCCGGUUCGCC
rnacentral:SRP_RNA from 15 species